GCUAGUGUGGUAUAGUGGUUUGAGUGCUAGACUUCAACUCUGGAGACCAGGUUUCAAUUCCCAACUCAUCCA